AGCCACAGCCAUAUCACCCUGCAGCCCAAGACCGGUUACUCACUGAAGCUAAGCAGGGCUGAGCCUGGUCAGUACCUGGAUGGGAGACCACUUGGGAAAACCAAUUUGCUGUUGGAA
rnacentral:rRNA from 1 species